GCAGAAUUGGUGUUAAUGGCUAGCAUGCGACCCUUCCAAGGUCAGGGAGAGAGUUCGAAUCUCUUAUUCUGCA
rnacentral:tRNA from 1 species